CUCAGACAUGCAAGUCGAACGAUUAAACUUUCCUUCGGGAAAGAUAUAAAGUGGCGCACGGGUGAGUAACACGUAAGUAAUCUACCUUUGAGUGGGGAAUAACCCGGGGAAACCCGAGCUAAUACCGCAUAAUGCAGCGGCACCGCAAGGUGACAGUUGUUAAAGGAGCAAUCCGCUUAAAGAGGAGCUUGCGGCAGAUUAGCUAGUUGGUAAGGUAAUGGCUUACCAAGGCUACGAUCUGUAACCGGUCUAAGAGGACGGUCGGUCACACUGACACUGAAUAACGGGUCAGACUCCUACGGGAGGCAGCAGUCGGGAAUUUUGGGCAAUGGGCGAAAGCCUGACCCAGCAACGCCGCGUGAAGGAUGAAGUAUUUCGGUAUGUAAACUUCGAAAGAAUAGGAAGAAUAAAUGACGGUACUAUUUAUAAGGUCCGGCUAACUACGUGCCAGCAGCCGCGGUAAUACGUAGGGACCAAGCGUUGUUCGGAUUUACUGGGCGUAAAGGGCGCGUAGGCGGCAAUUCAAGUCAUCUGUGAAAUCUCCGGGCUUAACUCGGAACGGUCAGAUGAUACUGCUUUGCUAGAGUGCAGAAGGGGCAAUCGGAAUUCUUGGUGUAGCGGUGAAAUGCGUAGAUAUCAAGAGGAACACCUGAGGUGAAGACGGGUUGCUGGGCUGACACUGACGCUGAGGCGCGAAAGCCAGGGGAGCAAACGGGAUUAGAUACCCCGGUAGUCCUGGCCCUAAACGAUGAAUACUUGGUGUCUGGAGUCAUUAUUGCUCCGGGUGCCGUCGCUAACGUUUUUAGUAUUCCGCCUGGGGAGUACGCACGCAAGUGUGAAACUCAAAGGAAUUGACGGGGACCCGCACAAGCGGUGGAGCAUGUGGUUUAAUUCGACGCAACGCGAAGAACCUUACCUGGACUAGAAUGUGAGGGAAGGGCUUCUAAUAGAGUCCGUCCGGGAAACCGGACCCAAAACAAGGUGCUGCAUGGCUGUCGUCAGCUCGUGUC
rnacentral:rRNA from 1 species